rnacentral:rRNA from 1 species
UACGUAGGGUGCGAGCGUUGUCCGGAAUUACUGGGCGUAAAGAGCUCGUAGGUGGUUUGUCGCGUUGUCCGUGAAAACUCACAACUCAAUUGUGGGCGUGCGGGCGAUACGGGCAGACUGGAGUACUGCAGGGGAGACUGGAAUUCUUGGUGUAGCGGUGAAAUGCGUAGAUAUCAAGAGGAACACCUGCGGCGAAGGCGGGUUGCUGGGCCGACACUGACGCUGAUGCGCGAAAGCCAGGGGAGCGAACGGG